AUCCUUUGAGAAAUUUAUACAUGUGUACAAUCAAGUCCAGCUCUCCACACUCCUCCCUUCCAGCUCCUCCCAGAUCACCCACAUUUCCACCUGUGCUAUCAAAAUCUUGAACAGCAUUCAACAUUCAGUCAGUAAUAGCAGUCAGUGUCUGACCGCCUGGAGUCUCGGAGUGAUGUGGAGACCGGCAUCCUACAGGGCUGGUGCCAGCGACUGCACACUCGGCUUCCUGCCAAGCUUGGGGCCGCAGCAUCCCUCAGGGUGGUGUGGCAGUCAGGCAACUGUCGGUGCAGUGGGCUCUGGGUCUGUGGAUUCGACUCCCUGGCGAUUGCACAGUUAGACAGGCGUCUUCAUGCAAAGAGUCAAAGCAUGCACCUCUCCAGGAGCCUGGAAGCCCCUCAGACCCAGGAAAGGUGGAGAAGAUUCGACUCAUGUAAACCGUUCUGCAGGGACAGAGUGGCGUUUCCGGGGAACUAUGAAAUGGAGUGACUCACUCAGAGUUACGUCAAACAGGACAAGGCAUGAUCCAGGCCC